rnacentral:lncRNA from 1 species
UGGAGUGGAGAGGAGUUUCUGAGUCAUACGGUAAUUCUCCUUGGACUCAUUCAAGCAUUGCAAAACUGCAUUGUUUUCUAUCCCUGCCAGCAAUACAGUAAGGCCAGAGUUUUUUCCCUUCUCGCCAGUGAUCAUUACCCAUUUCUUUUGCUAGUUAUCUUGGUAUGUGUGAAAUAACAUCUCAUAAUAGCUGUGAUUUGCAUUUCUCUAAUGGUUAAUGAGGAUGACCAUCUUUUUACAGGCUUGUUGGCUGUUUAUAUCAUCUCUUUAAAGAUAUUUUCCAGAAAGUUGUGGUUUUUCCGAAGUGCAUAUUACAUAUAAAGUGUGAUAGUCAUUUUAUCCCAGCCUGGCCCGUGGAGAAGCUACACUGGACCCUGAAGCAAACAGCGCAAACUGCCAGCUGAGGCACAAUUGACGUCCAGCCAUGGUUGGUAUCUGAGCCACCUUUCGCACACAAUCCUAAGUAAGAUAAACUUAGCAUCAGACUCUCUGACCUCGGCACUCUUUCCUGCUCCUCCCCCAGCUCCAUGGUUGUAUCAUUAAGAUGCCACAGCUACUGAAUAGAGUCUGAGCUCAAUCCAGGAAACUCCAGCGGUCCAGGAGCAGCAGAUACUGUUGGUAGCUCUCUACUGUCUAGGCACACUCCAUUCCUUUUCUAUGCUCCCUGCUGGCUCUGAAAGGGGGACCUGAGUUUGCUGGAAAAAUCUGCAGAUGACUCUCCAAGAGUGAGGAAGCAUCUACCUGGAAGUGACAUACACAGUAUCUAACUCUGGAAAAAGUAGACUAGAUAGAUCGCAAGAGUAUUGAAAAUUGUCAACCACGUCAAGAACCUUGUACAGAAUGAGAAAUUCACAUCACUAAGCCACAUGUAAUCAUAAUGCUGAAGUUAAAAUCAAUCCAGCCUUAAGUCCUCCAGAUAAUUAGCUAAACAAUUUAUAUUAAUCAGAUUUCAUUAGCCUGUUUUCCUAUAUCAAUUUCCAAAGAAGGAAAAUAUAUGUUGUCUCUAUUUUCUUAUCAUAUGGGCCUAUGCUGGAGAAGUACAUUUUCCCCUGGGCUGUUUUCUAUAACCUCACAGAUGAUUAUUUUUUUAUUACUUUUGUUCUUCACUGGCAAAUCUACACUUGGAUCUCUGUGGCUGUCAGGUGAGAGAACUCUGUUUUUAUCACAUGAACCUGAAAUCCGAGCUCUAUCUGGCUACUCAGGGCAGGAAUGGAUUUGACUUGCCUAGGGUUUUGUUUUAUUUUUUUUUUGCCUGUCUUGGCACUUGUUUGUCCUCGUUGUUGUGUUAACUCUAGGCCGUGAUGACUCACGCUGAUACCUUUGAGAAUAUAGAAGAAAUAAAAUGAACAUGAAAUGUAAUGGAUGCUGUGACAGAAUUUGUGUUCC